GUUAACACCGGUUCCCGUACGAUCAUCAAAGUUAAGCAACGUUGAGUCUGGUCAGUACUUAGAUGGGUUAACGCUAGGGACA